ACAAUGGAGAGUUUGAUCCUGGCUCAGGAUGAACGCUAGCGGCAGGCUUAACACAUGCAAGUCGAACGGUAACAGAAAAAGCUUGCUUUUUGCUGACGAGUGGCGAACGGGUGCGUAACGCGUAUGCAACCUACCUUCUUCUAAGGAAUAGCCCAGAGAAAUUUGGAUUAAUACCUUAUGAUAAUAUUUAUUCGCAUGUUUAAAUAUUUAAAACUCCGGUGGAAGAAGAUGGGCAUGCGUAACAUUAGUUUGUUGGUGAGGUAAUGGCUCACCAAGACUACGAUGUUUAGGGGGUCUGAGAGGAUGAUCCCCCACACUGGUACUGAGACACGGACCAGACUCCUACGGGAGGCAGCAGUGAGGAAUAUUGGUCAAUGGACGAAAGUCUGAACCAGCCAUGCCGCGUGAAGGAUGACGGCCCUACGGGUUGUAAACUUCUUUUGUAUAGGAAGAAACCCCUCUACGUGUAGAGGGUUGACGGUACUAUUCGAAUAAGCACCGGCUAACUCCGUGCCAGCAGCCGCGGUAAUACGGAGGGUGCGAGCGUUAUCCGGAAUUAUUGGGUUUAAAGGGUGCGUAGGCGGAAAUUUAAGUCAGUGGUGAAAGCCUGCAGCUUAACUGUAGAAUUGCCAUUGAUACUGGAUUUCUUGAAUCUAAUAGAAGUAGGCGGAAUAUGACAUGUAGCGGUGAAAUGCUUAGAUAUGUCAUAGAACACCGAUAGCGAAGGCAGCUUACUAUGUUAGUAUUGACGCUAAUGCACGAAAGCGUGGGGAGCGAACAGGAUUAGAUACCCUGGUAGUCCACGCCGUAAACGAUGAUUACUCGCUAUUGGCGAUACACUGUCAGUGGCUAAGCGAAAGUGAUAAGUAAUCCACCUGGGGAGUACGAUCGCAAGGUUGAAACUCAAAGGAAUUGACGGGGGCCCGCACAAGCGGUGGAGCAUGUGGUUUAAUUCGAUGAUACGCGAGGAACCUUACCAGGUCUUAAAUGCAUAACGAACGAUUGGGAAACCAAUCUUUCUUCGGACGGAAUGCAAGGUGCUGCAUGGUUGUCGUCAGCUCGUGCCGUGAGGUGUCAGGUUAAGUCCUAUAACGAGCGCAACCCCUAUUCUUAGUUGCCAGCGGUUCGGCCGGGGACUCUAAGAAAACUGCCAGUGCAAGCUGUGAGGAAGGUGGGGAUGACGUCAAAUCAUCACGGCCCUUACGACCUGGGCCACACACGUGCUACAAUGGUAGGUACAAAGGGCAGCCACUUGGCGACAAGGAGCUAAUCUCUAAAACCUAUCUCAGUUCGGAUUGGAGUCUGAAACUCGACUCUAUGAAGCUGGAAUCGCUAGUAAUCGCGCAUCAGCCAUGGCGCGGUGAAUACGUUCCCGGGCCUUGUACACACCGCCCGUCAAGCCAUGGAAGCUGGGAGUACCUGAAGUCGGUAACCAUAUAGGAGCUGCCUAGGGUAAAACUAGUAACUGGGGCUAAGUCGUAACAAGGUAGCCGUACCGGAAGGUGUGGCUGGAACACCUCCUUU
rnacentral:rRNA from 1 species